UACGGAGGGUGCGAGCGUUAAUCGGAAUUACUGGGCGUAAAGCGUGCGUAGGCGGUGGGUUAAGUUAGAUGUGAAAGCCCCGGGCUCAACCUGGGAACGGCAUUUAAAACUGGCCAGCUAGAGUUAGGUAGAGGGGAGCGGAAUUCCGGGUGUAGCGGUGAAAUGCGUAGAUAUCCGGAGGAACACCAGUGGCGAAGGCGGCUCCCUGGACCCAAACUGACGCUGAGGUACGAAAGCGUGGGUAGCAAACAGG
rnacentral:rRNA from 1 species